UACGGGCGGAGCGAGCGUUGUUCGGAUUCAUUGGGUGUAAAGGGUGCGAAGGCGGUCGUCUAAGUCGGAGGUGAAAUGUCUACGGCUCAACCGAGGCAUUGCCUCCGAUACUGGACGACUUGAGUGCGGAAGGGGAGCGUGGAAUUCCUGGUGUAGCGGUGAAAUGCGUAGAUAUCAGGAGGAACACCGGUGGCGAAGGCGACGCUCUGGUCCGCAACUGACGCUCAUGCACGAAAGCCAGGGGAGCGAACGGGAUUAGAUACCCCGGUAGUCCUGGCCGUAAACGUUGGGCACUAGGUGUGGGAGGUAUCGACCCCUUCCGUGCCGUAGCUAACGCAUUAAGUGCCUCACCUGGGGAGUACGACCGCAAGGUUGAA
rnacentral:rRNA from 1 species